rnacentral:tRNA from 1 species
GCCUUAGUAGCUUAACCCAUAAAGCACCGGUCUUGUAAUCCGGAGACUGGAAGUUAAAAUCUUCCCUAAUGCC